rnacentral:rRNA from 1 species
UACGUAGGGGGCAAGCGUUGUCCGGAAUCAUUGGGCGUAAAGGGCGCGUAGGCGGCCUGCUAAGUCGGAUGUGAAAUCCCUCGGCUCAACCCGAGGAACUGCAUCCGAUACUGGCGGGCUUGAAUCCGGGAGAGGGAUGUGGAAUUCCGUGGUGUAGCGGUGAAAUGCGCAGAUAUCAGGAGGAACACCAAUGGCGAAGGCAGCUCGCUGGGACGGUACUGACGCUGAGACGCGAAAGCGUGGGGAGCAAACAGG